ACGGACGCUGGCGGCGUGCUUAACACAUGCAAGUCGAACGGAAAGGCCCUGCUUUUGUGGGGUGCUCGAGUGGCGAACGGGUGAGUAACACGUGAGUAACCUGCCCUUGACUUUGGGAUAACUUCAGGAAACUGGGGCUAAUACCUGAUAGGAGCUCCUGCUGCCUGGUGGGGGUUGGAAAGUUUCGGCGGUUGGGGAUGGACUCGCGGCUUAUCAGCUUGUUGGUGGGGUAGUGGCUUACCAAGGCUUUGACGGGUAGCCGGCCUGAGAGGGUGACCGGCCACAUUGGGACUGAGAUACGGCCCAGACUCCUACGGGAGGCAGCAGUGGGGAAUAUUGCACAAUGGGCGGAAGCCUGAUGCAGCAACGCCGCGUGCGGGAUGACGGCCUUCGGGUUGUAAACCGCUUUCGCCUGUGACGAAGCGUGAGUGACGGUAAUGGGUAAAGAAGCACCGGCUAACUACGUG
rnacentral:rRNA from 1 species